AGUGAACGCUGGCGGUAGGCCUAACACAUGCAAGUCGAACGGCAGCACAGGAGAGCUUGCUCUCUGGGUGGCGAGUGGCGGACGGGUGAGGAAUACAUCGGAAUCUACUCUGUCGUGGGGGAUAACGUAGGGAAACUUACGCUAAUACCGCAUACGACCUACGGGUGAACGCAGGGGACCUUCGGGCCUUGCGCGAUUGACGGAGCCGAUGUCGGAUUAGCGAGUUGGCGGGGUAAAGGCCCACCAAGGCGACGAUCCGUAGCUGGUCUGCGAGGAUGAUCAGCCACACUGGAACUGAGACACGGUCCAGACUCCUACGGGAGGCAGCAGUGGGGAAUAUUGGACAAUGGGCGCAAGCCUGAUCCAGCCAUACCGCGUGGGUGAAGAAGGCCUUCGGGUUGUAAAGCCCUUUUGUUGGGAAAGAAAUCCAGCUGGCUAAUACCCGGUUGGGAUGACGGUACCCAAAGAAUAAGCACCGGCUAACUUCGUGCCAGCCGCCGCCGUAA
rnacentral:rRNA from 1 species